UGUGAGGUUAAGCGACUAAGCGUACACGGUGGAUGCCCUGGCAGUCAGAGGCGAUGAAGGACGUGCUAAUCUGCGAUAAGCGUCGGUGAGGUGAUAUGAACCGUUAUAACCGGCGAUUUCCGAAUGGGGAAACCCAGUGUGUUUCGACACACUAUCAUUAACUGAAUCCAUAGGUUAAUGAGGCGAACCGGGGGAACUGAAACAUCUAAGUACCCCGAGGAAAAGAAAUCAACCGAGAUUCCCCCAGUAGCGGCGAGCGAACGGGGAGGAGCCCAGAGCCUGAAUCAGUGUGUGUGUUAGUGGAAGCGUCUGGAAAGGCGCGCGAUACAGGGUGACAGCCCCGUACACAAAAAUGCACAUAUUGUGAGCUCGAUGAGUAGGGCGGGACACGUGGUAUCCUGUCUGAAUAUGGGGGGACCAUCCUCCAAGGCUAAAUACUCCUGACUGACCGAUAGUGAACCAGUACCGUGAGGGAAAGGCGAAAAGAACCCCGGCGAGGGGAGUGAAAAAGAACCUGAAACCGUGUACGUACAAGCAGUGGGAGCCUCUUAAUGGGGUGACUGCGUACCUUUUGUAUAAUGGGUCAGCGACUUAUAUUCUGUAGCAAGGUUAACCGAAUAGGGGAGCCGAAGGGAAACCGAGUCUUAACUGGGCGUUAAGUUGCAGGGUAUAGACCCGAAACCCGGUGAUCUAGCCAUGGGCAGGUUGAAGGUUGGGUAACACUAACUGGAGGACCGAACCGACUAAUGUUGAAAAAUUAGCGGAUGACUUGUGGCUGGGGGUGAAAGGCCAAUCAAACCGGGAGAUAGCUGGUUCUCCCCGAAAGCUAUUUAGGUAGCGCCUCGUGAAUUCAUCUCCGGGGGUAGAGCACUGUUUCGGCAAGGGGGUCAUCCCGACUUACCAACCCGAUGCAAACUGCGAAUACCGGAGAAUGUUAUCACGGGAGACACACGGCGGGUGCUAACGUCCGUCGUGAAGAGGGAAACAACCCAGACCGCCAGCUAAGGUCCCAAAGUCAUGGUUAAGUGGGAAACGAUGUGGGAAGGCCCAGACAGCCAGGAUGUUGGCUUAGAAGCAGCCAUCAUUUAAAGAAAGCGUAAUAGCUCACUGGUCGAGUCGGCCUGCGCGGAAGAUGUAACGGGGCUAAACCAUGCACCGAAGCUGCGGCAGCGACACUAUGUGUUGUUGGGUAGGGGAGCGUUCUGUAAGCCUGUGAAGGUGGCCUGUGAGGGUUGCUGGAGGUAUCAGAAGUGCGAAUGCUGACAUAAGUAACGAUAAAGCGGGUGAAAAGCCCGCUCGCCGGAAGACCAAGGGUUCCUGUCCAACGUUAAUCGGGGCAGGGUGAGUCGACCCCUAAGGCGAGGCCGAAAGGCGUAGUCGAUGGGAAACAGGUUAAUAUUCCUGUACUUGGUGUUACUGCGAAGGGGGGACGGAGAAGGCUAUGUUGGCCGGGCGACGGUUGUCCCGGUUUAAGCGUGUAGGCUGGUUUUCCAGGCAAAUCCGGAAAAUCAAGGCUGAGGCGUGAUGACGAGGCACUACGGUGCUGAAGCGACAAAUGCCCUGCUUCCAGGAAAAGCCUCUAAGCAUCAGGUAACAUCAAAUCGUACCCCAAACCGACACAGGUGGUCAGGUAGAGAAUACCAAGGCGCUUGAGAGAACUCGGGUGAAGGAACUAGGCAAAAUGGUGCCGUAACUUCGGGAGAAGGCACGCUGAUAUGUAGGUGAAGCGACUUGCUCGUGGAGCUGAAAUCAGUCGAAGAUACCAGCUGGCUGCAACUGUUUAUUAAAAACACAGCACUGUGCAAACACGAAAGUGGACGUAUACGGUGUGACGCCUGCCCGGUGCCGGAAGGUUAAUUGAUGGGGUUAGCGGUAACGCGAAGCUCUUGAUCGAAGCCCCGGUAAACGGCGGCCGUAACUAUAACGGUCCUAAGGUAGCGAAAUUCCUUGUCGGGUAAGUUCCGACCUGCACGAAUGGCGUAAUGAUGGCCAGGCUGUCUCCACCCGAGACUCAGUGAAAUUGAACUCGCUGUGAAGAUGCAGUGUACCCGCGGCAAGACGGAAAGACCCCGUGAACCUUUACUAUAGCUUGACACUGAACAUUGAGCCUUGAUGUGUAGGAUAGGUGGGAGGCUUUGAAGUGUGGACGCCAGUCUGCAUGGAGCCGACCUUGAAAUACCACCCUUUAAUGUUUGAUGUUCUAACGUGGGCCCCUUACCGGGGUUGCGGACAGUGUCUGGUGGGUAGUUUGACUGGGGCGGUCUCCUCCUAAAGAGUAACGGAGGAGCACGAAGGUUGGCUAAUCCUGGUCGGACAUCAGGAGGUUAGUGCAAUGGCAUAAGCCAGCUUGACUGCGAGCGUGACGGCGCGAGCAGGUGCGAAAGCAGGUCAUAGUGAUCCGGUGGUUCUGAAUGGAAGGGCCAUCGCUCAACGGAUAAAAGGUACUCCGGGGAUAACAGGCUGAUACCGCCCAAGAGUUCAUAUCGACGGCGGUGUUUGGCACCUCGAUGUCGGCUCAUCACAUCCUGGGGCUGAAGUAGGUCCCAAGGGUAUGGCUGUUCGCCAUUUAAAGUGGUACGCGAGCUGGGUUUAGAACGUCGUGAGACAGUUCGGUCCCUAUCUGCCGUGGGCGCUGGAGAACUGAGGGGGGCUGCUCCUAGUACGAGAGGACCGGAGUGGACGCAUCACUGGUGUUCGGGUUGUCAUGCCAAUGGCACUGCCCGGUAGCUAAAUGCGGAAGAGAUAAGUGCUGAAAGCAUCUAAGCACGAAACUUGCCCCGAGAUGAGUUCUCCCUGACUCCUUGAGAGUCCUGAAGGAACGUUGAAGACGACGACGUUGAUAGGCCGGGUGUGUAAGCGCAGCGAUGCGUUGAGCUAACCGGUACUAAUGAACCGUGAGGCUUAACCUUACAACGCCG
rnacentral:rRNA from 1 species